AGAGGAGCCGCGUAGCCGAGCCACCGCCCUGCGCCGUCCGCCGUGUCCCCGCAGCCGGCCGUCGGGCGCAGACGCUCCCCCUGGCGGGGCUGGCGGGGGUCUCUGGGAGGGGCCCCGGUACCUCGCUCCAUGCCCUGCAUCCUUGCGGCAUCGGGCGCCCGCCCACCUGCGCGCGGGAGGGGGCUUCCUGGAUUGAAGAGAAGGGCCGCAGCCCCUCGGCUCCUUUCAUCUGGCGGAGUCUCUACAGGCAGUGGUCUCCCCUAAUUAUUACUCCGGAGUCGUGGGGACCCGCUCCCCUUCCUAUUCCAAGUACGCGGGCCUCUCACUGCUGUGACCUCUCCCAUUGCGGAGCACAGGCUCCGGACGCGCAAGCUCAGCGGCCAUGGCUCACGGGCCCAGCCGCUCCGUGGCAUGAUGGGAUCUUCCCGGACCGGGGCACGAACCCGUGUCCCCUGCAUCGGCAGGGGGACUCUCAACCACUGCGCCACCAGGGAAGCCCAUCAAUGUUGUUUUUGUUUUUUGUUUGUCUGUCACUUACUUACUGACACUACAAGAUGCUGAACUUGUAUAUUUCCUGUCCUGGUCCUAGGAUCAGCCAUUUCUCAAAGAUGUCCUUGUUACUUUUAUUGGAGAGUGGUAUUAGAACCCAAGAUUUGGUAUUUGGAGUGUAAUUGCUUCUAGACCCUCUCAGCUGACAGAGCAAGGAAAUAUAUGUGUGUAUUCUAACUAAUAAAUAUACCCAUAUCUCUGUUUCUCUAUGUGGAACCACCCCUGUCUAUAUUAAGCUAAGCAUGACUUCAUACUGAUCCAUACAACCAACUCUAAUUCAUUGCCGCAUAGAUUAUUCUAGCCAUUCCCAUUGCUUUUCUGUAAAUUCCUGCUCCAACAGUGAGAAACCUAGCUUCCAUCAUUUAACUUCCAUUUACCUAAUUGCUCAACAUGAGUGUACAUUUAUGGAAGUAUCAGAAUUAUUAACCCUACUCCUGUGGAUAACAGUUUUAUCAACUUGAGUCCAGUGCUUUUGUGUAGUUGCUUUUCUCUUUAGUUUUACCGACUUCACUCACUUCCAAGUGGUAAUCUUGAAUGCCACCAUUUCCUUAGGUAAUCACCUAUUUCCUCCACCCUCUUCAGUGAGGUCGUUUCAUAUAUGUACAAUACAGACAGAUUAUGUUGUCACAAUCUGCAUUCCAUCCUCCGGUCCCCCAACCUCUGUUUUAAUUGCCUCCUAGUCACCCUGCUGGUGAGGGAAGAGUUCCCUCCCUAGGGUUUUGGGAAUAGCCAAACACAUAACACCCGACACAGGACAGAUGACAUCAACAGCAGUCUGUUGGCCACAUAUACUCACAGUCUCUCGGGCAGGAGGGUACCACAUAGAGAAGGCACUGCCACACGGAAGUCGCACUCAGGAACAGAAGGAACAACCAGAGGCUGUGGGAGAGAGUUUUGUAGUACCAAGAGGAUGAGGUACCCUCUGGUUCCUGUGAAGAAUUUGAUUAGUUGUUUGAAUAAUUCCACAAGCUGGCAGGGAACUGAAACUAACUACUCAGGGAUCAGCACUGACUGUGCCUGGUCCCUUCAGCAUGGAGAGUUAGAGGUUUAGCUAGAGGAACUUAUCUAUGGCAAGAGUAGGGACAGGGAUAUACAGAUAGGCCAUUGUAGGCCCUCCCAUUUUUCCCAGGUAAUAAACAUGACUGUUAAGGCAACACAUAAUAUUGAGACUUUAUAUUAGGCCUUAUACUACGACUUUCCAUAUGAUUUUUAAAAAUUUGCAUACAUUAAGCUUUACUCUGUGCUGUAAAUUUUUGUGGGUUUCAACAAUGUCAUGUAUCCACUAUUUUUUUUUUUGUAUCCACUAUUAUGGUAUCACACAGAAUAGUGUCACUAUCCUAAAAAAUCUCCUGUUGCUUCACACGUUCAACCAUUCUCCUCUUUUUCCUGUCUCUAUAAUUUUGUCUUUUUCAGAAUAUCAUAUAAUUGGAAUCAUACAGCAUGUAGUAUUUUCAGACUGGCUUCUUUCCCUUAGCAAUUUCCAUUAAGGUUCAUCUAUAUCUUUUCUGUCACACUUAAAGGCUUUUGAAACAAGGAAAAUGUAAACUAUUUAAAAAAUUUUUAAAAGAUUUAUCUCCAUUCUAAAAUAUUUUCUUCAAAUAUUUUGAAAUAUUUUAUACUUUCUAAAAGAAUCUUACUAUGAUAGAGAUUUAUUAAAAGUUAUGUAAGGGACUUACCACUUCCAUUGCAGGGGGCAGUGGUUUGAUCCCUGGUCAGGAAACUAAGAUCCCGCAUGCCAUGCAGCACAGCC
rnacentral:lncRNA from 1 species